GGCUCUGUGGUGCAAUGGAUAACGCAUUGGGCUUCCAAGUUCAGGUUUGCUACCAUUCCAAGGUUGUGGGUUCAAGUACCACCAGAGUUG